rnacentral:rRNA from 1 species
UACACGACCGUACCGCAAACCGACACUGGUGCGCGAGAUGAGUAUUCUAAGGCGCUUGAGAGAACUCAGGAGAAGGAACUCGGCAAAUUGACACCGUAACUUCGGAAGAAGGUGUGCCUUUAGUAGGUGAAGUCCCUCGCGGAUGGAGCCCAAUGAGGUUGCAAAAAAUCGGUGGCUGCGACUGUUUAUUAAAAACACAGCACUCUGCAAACACGAAAGUGGACGUAUAGGGUGUGACGCCUGCCCGGUGCUGGAAGAUUAAAUGAUGGGGUGCAAGCUCUUGAUUGAAGUCCCAGUAAACGGCGGCCGUAACAAUAACGGUCCUAAGGUAGCGAAAUUCCUUGUCGGGUAAGUUCCGACCUGCACGAAUGGCGUAACGAUGGCCACACUGUCUCCUCCUGAGACUCAGCGAAGUUGAAAUGUUUGUGAUGAUGCAAUCUCCCCGCGGAAAGACGGAAAGACCCCAUGAACCUUUACUGUAGCUUUGUAUUGGACUUUGAACAGAUCUGUGUAGGAUAGGUGGGAGGCUUUGAAGCAGGGUCGCUAGAUCUUGUGGAGCCAACGUUGAAAUACCACCCUGGUGUGUUUGAGGUUCUAACCUAGGCCCGUAAUCCGGGUUGGGGACAGUGCAUGGUAGGCAGUUUGACUGGGGCGGUCUCCUCCCAAAGUGUAACGGAGGAGUUCGAACGUACGCUAGUUACGGUCGGACAUCGUGACGAUAGUGCAAUGGCAUAAGCGUGCUUAACUGCGAGACUGACAAGUCGAGCAGAUGCGAAAGCAGGACAUAGUGAUCCGGUGGUUCUGUAUGGAAGGGCCAUCGCUCAACGGAUAAAAGGUACUCUGGGGAUAACAGGCUGAUACCGCCCAAGAGUUCAUAUCGACGGCGGUGUUUGGCACCUCGAUGUCGGCUCAUCUCAUUCUGGGGCUGUAGCCGGUCCCAAGGGUAUGGCUGUUCGCCAUUUAAAGAGGUACGUGAGCUGGGUUUAAAACGUCGUGAGACAGUUUGGUCCCUAUCUUCCGUGGGCGCUGCAGAUUUGAGGAAGCCUGCUCCUAGUACGAGAGGACCGGAGUGGACGCACCUCUGGUGUAUCGGUUGUCACGCCAGUGGCAUUGCCGAGUAGCUAUGUGCGGAAGAGAUAACCGCUGAAAGCAUCUAAGCGGGAAACUCGUUUCAAGAUGAGAUCUGCCGGGGCCUUGAGCCCCCUGAAGAGUCGUUCAAGACCAGGACGUUGAUAGGUCGGGUGUGGAAGCGCAGUAAUGCGUUAAGCUAACCGAUACUAAUUGCUCGUGCGGCUUGACC